rnacentral:lncRNA from 1 species
AGAGAAAUCAUCCCAGUUAGAGGACAGAGGUUAGUGGAGGUGGGAGCCAGAAUUGAUGCAGAGUUCUGUUCCAGUUUUGUGUGGUUUCUGGCGAACUGGGCCAUUUGCUCUGAGCUGCCCCAUGACAGGAGGGGCAAUCCGCAGCCCUCACCAUUUCCUGCCCCAUCCCAACCCACACAGGGCCUCUUCUAUGGGCUGCAUUCUGUAAUUGGCAGUUAUAUGGAUUUACAGAUACAGUUGAAGGUGUUUUUAGACAGCUGUACAGAAGACAUAGACAUUCCAGCCUUACCCCAAGAACAUGACCGACCCAGAAGAGCCUUUGAAUGUGCUGAGGACAUGUGCUGAAGUCUCAAAGAAGCAAGGGUGGAAUGGCUGUCCAAGAGCCUCUCAGGUUCUCUAGGGCAAGGGCAAGAGGGCUGGCAUGAUGGGUUUCACUAGGAUAACUAGGAGAACUGGCUGUGACUACGAUGGCCAUCUAUUCUUUGCUGCUCAGCAUCCCUUACUCUUUCCUGUAGUAACAACUACACCCCAAUUCUGCUUUGGGAAACCACCUUUCCCUAACAGACACAGUCAUGGUGGGACAAUCAUCGGAGUGUGGGGCUCCCUGCUCUGGUCAACGAUUUAGCACUCAAGCCAGGACAAUGACAUCUUGCCCUAGAAUCUCAACCACCGACUCUAAGACUGAGCAACAGCACAUCCCAGCAGGAGCACCUAGGUGCUUCUGUCCGUGGGCUCCUACCACCCAGAUCCCCAGAGAUCCUGUUUUUCCUAAAAUAUGCUUCUCCAGUUUGUCCUUUGAUCCUAUCACCUACCCCAGAUCCUUCCAAAAGCUCCUAUUUUCUUUCCCAAGACAGGAAGCCAUACCACACCCUAUUCCCAGAGCACGUCUGUAACCAGCAGCCACAAUCUAAAGGUUAGCAGGGAAAGCUUGCCAAAUAGUUUAGGAUUCUCUCUGGUCGGCCAAUACCUGUUAACCAGGCAGCUCCUUCCUCCACCUCUCCAGGCCCUGAAUGUCUUCAGAAGUCCCCAGGAGCCUCAGCAGAAGAUCCUAUCUUCCCUUCCACUGUGAAGAAGAUGCCCGGAACAUGCCAGGCACAGGCCUGUGACGCAGACAGGACCUGAUGUAUCCCCUGCUCACAGGUCCCCAAAGGCAGGGCUGAUUUCCGUCUGUGUAUGGAAGAACAGUUACAAAGCUCUGCCUCCUACUAGCUUUGCAACUUUGGGCAACUAACCUAACCUCGUUGUGCCUCAGUCUCCUCCUCUGUAAAUGGAAGUAAUAAUAUUGCAUACGGCAUUGUGGUGGGAUGAAGAUUAAAUGAGUUAAUGCAUACAAAACACUUAGAAUGUUGCCUGGCACCUGGUUAAUGUUAACUAUUGUGAUUAUUGUCAUCACCACCACCCCAGCUUCGGCAACACCAUCACCCGCCACCAUCCUAGCAACAGCAUCAUUACUUAUCAUCACCACCACUCUCUUCCUCAGCACCCUCACACAGCAGCAGGAGAUGGUGAGCACUCACCGGGUGUUUGCUGAAUCUGACUCCUCUCUGUAACAUCUGAGUGUGUAAGUGGCAGUCAUACAGAACUUCAGAUGUGCUGAGUAUCAGCACAAAGGGCUGCCUAUGAUGAGAUUGCUGGUAAAGAGCUAGAAUCUCAGUUUGCCCUGAGACUAGACUGUAUCAUACUGCUUUUUCCCUCUUUUUUUUGGUAGAGACACUUUCUUGAUAUGUUGCCCAGGCUGGUCUCGAACUUCUGGGCUCAAGGGAUCCUCCUGCCUCAGCCCCCACUCAAAGUGCUGGGAUUAUAGGUGUGAGCCACUGUGCACGGCCCCCGUACUUCUUGCUGUGUCCUUCAGAAGAAAUACCCGUCCUGCUCCCUGACUCAAUUUGUGGCCCUAAUAAAACAGCAAGCUGCUAGGACUACUACAACACACAAAAUGUGGCCCUGAGUAUACACCCAUAUCAUUAUAUGCCCUCAGACACCGACAAUCCAUGAGGCUAAACUUCCCCAUGCCUAGGCCUCCAGAGACCAGAACAUGCUGUAGGCCUUUCGGUACAACAGCUGCAGCGUGCCACAAGAUGGGCAAUUCUGCACCCCAGACUCAGGCAGACCUGAGUACAAAUUUUGACUUAGGCCUUUCCAGCUGUGUGGCUUUGGGUAAAUGCCCAUCUCUGAGUGUCUGUUCACUCCUGUAUCAAAGGGAGACAAAUGGUAACACUCACCUCUCGGGGAGUCCUGAGGAUGAAAAAAGAUCGUCCGUGUGAAAACAGACUAUGUAAGUUAUGGCUAUGUAACUUAUAGGACCAAAUGCAAAAUGAAAUCAUGGGGCCCAUUCGAAAGUUAUAAAAGAGUUUUGAGAAGGUGACAGUAGAGUAUGAGACAGUAUGAAAGCAAGCAUAGGCCCUUCUGAGCACAGGGCCUGUGUGAGUGCACAGGCUGCCUGCUUAUGAAGCUGCUCUGGAUCAGUCAGGUACCAAGCACAGUGCCUGACACAGAGGAGGUGCCCAAGAAAUGUUCAUUCUUUUCUUUCCUUCAAUGGAGCCAAACAACAAUUCUGACAGUUUAGUAACACUAGAUGCUCCCCUCUGUCAGGAGCAGCACACUUUCACUCGGAGCUUUGCUGGUAACCUAGCUGCCUCCUGAAGGGUCCAGCAGAACUGAGCUGCCCAGUUACUGGGGGUUUGCUUCCCUCCAUGAUGCCCAAAUUGUGACACCAAGAUAAGGACAGGACCUCUGGGUUAACAGAGCUCCUCCUCACCUCCAUCUCUGGUUCAUCCAGAUGAUGUAGUUUUCCCAGCAGGACUAGCCCUUCAAUUCCUGCCUGACUUGGGUUAUGAACUGGCAACCCUGGUUUGACACCCCUUCCAAGUAGUUAUUUUUUAAUUGUGACAUAGCUACCAACAUUUAAUAAGCAAAGGAAUUCAGAUAAAAAUCAGCAAUGGUAGCUUCCACUAGAAAUGUUCAAGGUUGGCAACAAAAGCCUGAAUUCCCACGUGGCACACAUCAGUUGGAACCAAGCGGCACACUCCCUUCAGACAGGGUGCGUCUCACUGGUUUGCCACAGUCGUCACUACUCCCUAAUGUCACACCAGACCAGCUUUCCUCACUCCCAACUCCCACUGCAAGCUCACUCUGGCCAGCCUGGUUUCAGUUUGCAAGAUGGCACUCUGACCCAAUGAGUCUGCAGAACAACACUAACUCGGGUCUUUUGAAAAGGCCUCAAAAACGAAAGUAAAAAUCAUGGUUUAAUAAACUCACCAUGAUCCUGAUACCAAUAACCUGGCUCAAGAGAAGAGGCUCUUUCUGUACAAAGCAGCUUUCUCCAAUUCUGUUUAUUUUUGAAGAGAUUUUAUUUUUAGGCCAAUUAGAAACUAACCAUGCUGUUGCUCUGCCCAUAUAACAUAGUCCAUUCUCCUCAGCACAUUUGGAUCUGUGUGUAGAAAAGAUGACAAUGAGGAAAGGAGUAUCAACUGAUACCCAGUACUCCCCCAGUGGAUGUAAUGUGCAGGUGAACAGCUACUCAGAGGGUGAUGUGAGGCCAGUUAGAGCCCAGACUCAAAGAAUGAGCCUGCUCCUGAAAUGUCUUCCCCAUGAAACUUGGAG